rnacentral:rRNA from 1 species
GACGAACGCUGGCGGCGUGCUUAACACAUGCAAGUCGAACGGAAAGGCCCUGCUUGCAGGGUGCUCGAGUGGCGAACGGGCGAGUAACACGUGGGUGAUCUGCCCCUUACUUUGGGAUAAGCCUGGGAAACUGGGUCUAAUACUGGAUAGGACCAUGCUGUAGGUGGUGUGGUGGAAAGAUUAGUUUCGGUAAGGGAUGAGCUCGCGGCCUAUCAGCUUGUUGGUGGGGUAAUGGCCUACCAAGGCGUCGACGGGUAGCCGGCCUGAGAGGGUGGACGGCCACAUUGGGACUGAGAUACGGCCCAGACUCCUACGGGAGGCAGCAGUGGGGAAUAUUGCACAAUGGGCGCAAGCCUGAUGCAGCGACGCCGCGUGGGGGAUGACGGCCUUCGGGCUGUAAACUCCUUUCAGCCAUGACGAAGCCCUUGUGGUGACGGUAGUGGUAGAAGAAGCACCGGCUAACUACGUG